GAUGAACGCUGGCGGCGUGCCUAAUACAUGCAAGUCGAGCGAACGGACGAGAAGCUUGCUUCUCUGAUGUUAGCGGCGGACGGGUGAGUAACACGUGGAUAACCUACCUAUAAGACUGGGAUAACUUCGGGAAACCGGAGCUAAUACCGGAUAAUAUUUUGAACCGCAUGGUUCAAAAGUGAAAGACGGUCUUGCUGUCACUUAUAGAUGUAUCCGCGCUGCAUUAGCUAGUUGGUAAGGUAACGGCUUACCAAGGCAACGAUGCGUAGCCGACCUGAGAGGGUGAUCGGCCACACUGGAACUGAGACACGGUCCAGACUCCUACGGGAGGCAGCAGUAGGGAAUCUUCCGCAAUGGGCGAAAGCCUGACGGAGCAACGCCGCGUGAGUGAUGAAGGUCUUCGGAUCGUAAAACUCUGUUAUUAGGGAAGAACAUAUGUGUAAGUAACUGUGCACGUCUUGACGGUACCAAAUCAGAAAGCCACGGCUAACUACGUG
rnacentral:rRNA from 1 species